CACGUAGGGGGCAAGCGUUGUCCGGAUUUAUUGGGCGUAAAGAGCUCGUAGGCGGCUCAGUAAGUCAGGUGUGAAACCUCCAGGCUCAACCUGGAGACGCCACCUGAUACUGCUGUGGCUAGAGUCCGGUAGGGGAGCGUGGAAUUCCUGGUGUAGCGGUGAAAUGCGCAGAUAUCAGGAGGAACACCAGUGGCGAAGGCGGGUCUCUGGGCCGUAACUGACGCUGAGGAGCGAAAGCGUGGGGAGCGAACAGG
rnacentral:rRNA from 1 species